AUUGAACGCUGGCGGCAUGCCUUACACAUGCAAGUCGAACGGCAGCACGGGAGCAAUCCUAGUGGCGAGUGGCGAACGGGUGAGUAAUAUAUCGGAACGUGCCCAGUCGUGGGGAUAACGUAGCGAAAGCUACGCUAAUACCGCAUACGAUCUAUGGAUGAAAGCGGGGGAUCGCAAGACCUCGCGCGAUUGGAGCGGCCGAUAUCAGAUUAGGUAGUUGGUGAGGUAAAGGCUCACCAAGCCGACGAUCUGUAGCUGGUCUGAGAGGACGACCAGCCACACUGGGACUGAGACACGGCCCAGACUCCUACGGGAGGCAGCAUGGGGAAUUUUGGACAAUGGGCGCAAGCCUGAUCCAGCAAUGCCGCGUGCAGGAUGAAGGCCUCGGUUGUAACGUA
rnacentral:rRNA from 1 species